rnacentral:rRNA from 2 species
UAGGGAAUCUUCGGCAAUGGGGGGAACCCUGACCGAGCAACGCCGCGUGAGUGAAGAAGGUUUUCGGAUCGUAAAGCUCUGUUGUUAAGGAAGAACGAGUGUGAGAAUGGAAAGUUCAUGCUGUGACGGUACUUAACCAGAAAGGGACGGCUAACUACGUGCCAGCAGCCGCGGUAAUACGUAGGUCCCGAGCGUUGUCCGGAUUUAUUGGGCGUAAAGCGGGCGCAGGCGGUUAGAAAAGUCUGAAGUGAAAGGCAGUGGCUCAACCAUUGUAGGCUUUGGAAACUGUUUAACUUGAGUGCAGAAGGGGAGAGUGGAAUUCCAUGUGUAGCGGUGAAAUGCGUAGAUAUAUGGAGGAACACCGGUGGCGAAAGCGGCUCUCUGGUCUGUAACUGACGCUGAGGCUCGAAAGCGUGGGGAGCGAACAGG